rnacentral:rRNA from 1 species
GACGAACGCUGGCGGCGUGCUUAACACAUGCAAGUCGAACGGUAAGGCCCUUCGGGGUACACGAGUGGCGAACGGGUGAGUAACACGUGGGUGAUCUGCCCUGCACUUCGGGAUAAGCCUGGGAAACUGGGUCUAAUACCGGGUAGGACCACUGCCUGCAUGGGUGGUGGUGGAAAGCUUUUGCGGUGUGGGAUGGGCCCGCGGCCUAUCAGCUUGUUGGUGGGGUGAUGGCCUACCAAGGCGACGACGGGUAGCCGGCCUGAGAGGGUGACCGGCAAAACUGGGGCUGAGUGACGGCCCAGACGCCUACGGGAGGCAGCAGUGGGGAAUAUUGCACAAUGGGCGCAAGCCUGAUGCAGCGACGCCGCGUGAGGGAUGACGGCCUUCGGGUUGUAAACCUCUUUCAGCACCGACGAAGCGCAAGUGACGGUAGGUGCAGAAGAAGGACCGGCCAACUACGUGCCAGCCGCCGCGGUAA